UCCCCGGUGGCUGAAUGGUAAAGAAUCUGCCUGCAAUGCAGGGAACCCAGGUUCAGUCUCUGGGUUGGGAA
rnacentral:tRNA from 1 species